CCUACGGGUGACAGCAGUGAGGAAUAUUGGUCAAUGGACGCAAGUCUGAACCAGCCAAGUAGCGUGAAGGAUGACGGCCCUAUGGGUUGUAAACUGCUUUUAUAUGGGGAUAAACUGAGCCACGUGUGGGUUUUUGUAUGUACCAUAUGAAUAAGGAUCGGCUAACUCCGUGCCAGCAGCCGCGGUAAUACGGAGGAUCCGAGCGUUAUCCGGAUUUAUUGGGUUUAAAGGGAGCGUAGGUGGAUUGUUAAGUCAGUUGUGAAAGGCUGCGGCUCAACCGUAAAAGUGCAGUUGAAACUGGGAGUCUUGAGUACAGCAGAGGUGGGCGGAAUUCGUGGUGUAGCGGUGAAAUGCUUAGAUAUCACGAAGAACUCCGAUUGCGAAGGCAGCUUACCGGACUGUAACUGACACUGAGGCUCGAAAGUGUGGGUAGCAAACAGGAUUAGAUACCCGUGUAGUC
rnacentral:rRNA from 1 species